rnacentral:tRNA from 6 species
GUAAAUAUAGUUUAAACAAAACAUUAGAUUGUGAAUCUAAUAAUAGAGACUUAUUCCCUCUUAUUUACC